rnacentral:rRNA from 1 species
GAUGAACGCUGGCGGCGUGCUUAACACAUGCAAGUCGAACGGGAUCCAAGGGGUGCUUGCACUUUUUGGUGAGAGUGGCGAACGGGUGAGUAACACGUGAGUAACCUGUCCUUUUCUUUGGGAUAAGCAUUCGAAAGGGUGUUUAAUACCUUAUGCUCUGUCUGCCUCGCAUGGGGUGGGUGGGAAAGGCUUUGGCCGGAUUUGGGUGGGCUCGCGGUCUAUCAGCUUGUUGGUGGGGUGAUGGCUUACCAAGGCUUUGACGGGUAGCCGGCCUGAGAGGGUGGUCGGUCACAUUGGGACUGAGAUACGGCCCAGACUCCUGCGGGAGGCAGCAGUGGGGGAUAUUGCACAAUGGGCGAAAGCCUGAUGCAGCGACGCCGCGUGGGGGAUGAAGGCCUUCGGGUUGUAAACUUCUUUUGCUCUGAACAAGGCAUGCCAGUGGGUGUGUUGAGUGUAGGGGUUGAUUAGCGCCGGCUAACUACGUG